rnacentral:misc_RNA from 1 species
GAUGAAGAACGCAGCGAAAUGCGAUACUUGGUGUGAAUUGCAGAAUCCCGUGAACCAUCGAGUCUUUGAACGCAAGUUGCGCCCGAAGCCAUUAGGCCGAGGGCACGCCUGCCUGGGCGUCACACGUCGUUGCCCCCCCAUCUACUCCUUCGGGAUUGCGGGGGGCGGAUGAUGGCCUCCCGUGCGCCUCGUCGCGCGGUUGGCAUAAAUACCAAGUCCUCGGCGACGCACGCCACGACAAUCGGUGGUUGCGAAACCUCGGUUGCCCGUCGUGUGCGGUCGUCGCGCAUCGAGGGCUCGAAAAAAUUGCCGGGCUCCGGCUCGGCUUUCAACGCGACCCCAGGUCAGGUGGGGUUACCCGCUGAAUUUAAGCAUAUCAAUAAGCGGAGGA